AGGAUCUCCCUCAAUGUGUGUUCUAUAUUUCUCUCUGACCUGAGAUGAGGAGCACAGCUGAUAAAAUUCUCCUUUUGCCACAUCAAAAAGACCCCAAAGGUCUAUCUACCUCUGUGUGUUCUCUCAGGUUGACUUGAGGGGUUGUAAUGUAUUUUAGUCAGGAUCAGAAGCAUUGAAGGCUCCAAUCAAUAAUUGUUCAUUGUGGGCCCAACCAGACCUGAUAUGACAAGGUUCACAAAGAAGUUUACAAUACAUCUAUUGUCCCAUUUGAUCCACAUGACAGCUCUAAGAAGUAGUUGCUAUUAUUGUCCCAUUUUACAGAUGAGGAAACUGAGAUUGUCUAAGAACCUUGGGAAGAAAAUUACAUUUGGUGCCUGUAUGCUGACCUGGGGAGGACAUUUUCUUCGUGGAAAACACAAUGAUAACCUAACUAAGGAUAGUAGCCUGUCAAGAAAGCCCAGGUAUUUGGAAAUCAACUCAUUCCUUUCAAAACAUAAGCGAAGAAGGCAACUGACUCUCAACCCUGCAUCAAACAAAGGGAAAGCCAUAAAUCUUUUUGAAAAUAUGCUGUCCCAGUUUUAUACUUACCAGGCAUGGAUGUGACUGUAAUCAAGAUAGACUAUAAAGGACAAGUCAAGAAGAUCUUGGAAAUCUGGUGAAGCCUAUUGACCCCUUCUGAGAAUAAUUUUUGAAAUUCAUAAUUGAAGGAAAUGCUGAAUUUCAGUUAGAGAUUAGUGAAAAUAAAGAAGUAAUUUUUUUCCCAUUAAAGUUCACAGACCUCCUUAAAUGUACCCAUGGAGCCAUUGGAUCCUAGGUUAUAAGAGAAAUUCUUAUUAAAUAACAAAUUAUUGGGGAGAUCCAUGACCUUUACUAAAAUUUUACCCCAACUAGGCUAUAUUAUCUAGGUGUAGAUGUUGCCCCACCCAACUAGGAAACCUUACAAAUUAUUUAAUCUAAGGUUAAUUCUGACCCACUGUGUUCUACUGAGGCAGGUUAGGGCAGGGAGGUAGAUCCUUUGUCUAAAUUACCCAAUACAGGGAGAGGGGAGUGAUUUGGAAAUAAAUGACAUGAUCAAAGUGACAUUCCCCAGACCCUUAUUAGAAAUAGUCCACCGGGGCAGCUAGAUGGCAUAGUGGAUAGAGCACCGGCCCUGGAUUCAGGAGGACCUGAGUUCAAAUCCGGCCUCAGACACUUGACACUGAGUAGCUGUGUGACCCUGGGCAAGUCACUUAACCCCAAUUGCCUCACCCCCAAAAAAAAACAAAAAAAAAAGAAAUAGUCCACCACUCAUUAUAAUAUUCAUUCUUCUCAUUAAUUGUAAACCAAUCAGGGUUCAUUAGCACCCUCUGGAAUACCCAUUCUUCUAAGGGCAUAUAAGCAUUGAGUGGGUUCUAUGAGGGGUCUUUGGCAUAGAUGGCACAGUGGACAGAGCACCGGCCCUGGAGUCAGGAGUACCUGAGUUCACAUCU